GGUUCAGGAUGAACGCUAGCGACAGGCUAACACAUGCAAGUCGAGGGGCAUCACGGGAGUAGCAAUACAACUGGUGGCGACCGGCGCACGGGUGAGUAACGCGUAUGCAACCUACCUAUCAGAGGGGAAUAACCGGCGAAAGUCGGACUAAUACCGCAUAAAACAGGGGCACCGCAUGGUGAUAUUUGUUAAAGAAAUUCGCUGAUAGAUGGGCAUGCGUUCCAUUAGGUAGUUGGUGAGGUAACGGCUCACCAAACCGACGAUGGAUAGGGGAACUGAGAGGUUGGUCCCCCACACUGGUACUGAGACACGGACCAGACUCCUACGGGAGGCAGCAGUGAGGAAUAUUGGUCAAUGGGCGGGAGCCUGAACCAGCCAAGUCGCGUGAAGGAAGAAGGAUCUAUGGUUCGUAAACUUCUUUUGCAGGGGAAUAAAGUGCAGGACGUGUCCUGUUUUGUAUGUACCCUGAGAAUAAGGAUCGGCUAACUCCGUGCCAGCCGCCGC
rnacentral:rRNA from 1 species